rnacentral:rRNA from 1 species
CCUACGGGAGGCAGCAGUAGGGAAUCUUUCACAAUGGGCGAAAGCCUGACGGAGCAACGCCGCGUGCAGGAUGAAGGCCUUCGGGUUGUAAACUGCUUUUAUAAGCGAGAAAUAUGAUGGUAACUUUUGAAUAAGGAUCGGCUAACUACGGGCCAGCAGCCGCGGUCAUACGUAGGAUCCGAGCAUUAUCCGGGGUGACUGGGGGUAAAGAGUUGCGUAGGUGGUAUAAUAAGUAGCUAGUGAAAUCCGGUGGCUCAAGCAUUCAGACUAUACGCUAAACUGUAAAGCUCGAGACCGUUAGGGGGAACUGGAAUGUCUAGUGUAGGAGUGAAAUGCGUAGAUAUUAGAAGGAACACCGAUGGCGUAGGCAGGUUGCUGGGACGGUUCUGACACUAAGGCACGAAAGCGUAGGGAGCAAACGGGAUUAGAUACCCCAGUAGUC